CAUUUCUAUUCUACCGCAAUUCGAUGGAGUCUUGUUCUGUGGUCCAGGCUAGAGGGCAGUGGCAUGAUCUCGGCUCACUACAAGCUCUGCCUCCCGGGUUCACGCCAUUCUCCUGCCUCAGCCUCCUGAGUAGCUGGGACUACAGGCGCCCGCCACCACGCCUGGCUAAUUUUUUGUAUAUUUACUAGAGAUGGCUAGUGUUAGCCAAGAUGGUCUCGAUCUCCUGACCUCGUGAUCUGCCC
rnacentral:lncRNA from 1 species